rnacentral:rRNA from 1 species
UACGUAGGUGGCAAGCGUUGUCCGGAUUUAUUGGGUUUAAAGGGUGCGUAGGCAGUCUCUUAAGUCAGUGCUGAAAUACUCCAGCUUAACUGGAGGGGUGGCAUUGAUACUGGAAGACUUGAGUAUAGUCGAGGUAGGCGGACUUGACGGUGUAGCGGUGAAAUGCUUAGAUAUCGUCAAGAACACCGAUAGUGAAGACAGCUUACUAGGCUAUAACUGACGCUGAGGCACGAAAGUGUGGGGAUCAAACAGC